rnacentral:rRNA from 1 species
UACGUAGGGCGCAAGCGUUGUCCGGAAUUAUUGGGCGUAAAGGGCGCGUAGGCGGCUUGGCAAGUGGAUGGUGAAAUCCCUCGGCUUAACCGAGGAACUGCCAUCCAGACUGCUUUGCUUGAGGCCGGGAGAGGUGAGUGGAAUUCCCAGUGUAGCGGUGAAAUGCGUAGAUAUUGGGAGGAACACCAGUGGCGAAGGCGGCUCACUGGACCGGUUCUGACGCUGAGGCGCGAAAGCGUGGGGAGCAAACGGG